ACAACGCGUUUGUUCGGUGAUUACACAGUGUAAAGGGUGUUGAUUUAAUAGUAUCAGAAAGCGGUAGACGCGUGGGGAUUGUGAUUUUCCGAUACGAGACUGUCUAUCGUUAAUACACAUGGAAGGAGAACACGUGGAAUACCUCUUACAAAUAUGUUCUUUACGAGAGGACGAGAAUUCUAUCAGCGAUUGCGAGGAAUUUUAAACGAUCUGAGGACACAUAGAGGUAGCAGGAGCAUGGAGCAAUUUUUACAUUGCCUUAAUAUCCGUUUAUACUGGAUCGAGGCUCGCAUCAGGCACGACCGAUCCCUCUUCCCUCUUGGUCGAAGAAAUUUCGCCACGCUACCAUGGAAGCAGUUGGCGCGAUCUGUGAGCAAAAUCUUCCGGGGCUGUUCGAGAAGGAGAGGAAAGUAAAGGAAGAAUGAAGAGGGAAAGAGGAGAAAGAAAGAGGUUCGCUCGUGCGACGAGGUAUACAAGGUUGUAGCAUGGUACCGGUUACAUGCAGCCGGCUGUAAUAGGGUGAGAGGAGCCGUAGGGUGAGCAGCCUCGGACUUGACUAAUGAGGCGGCGCGUCCUCGACGUUAUUAGAUCGCCGAAAGAGUUUUUGAGGAUGGCCCGGCUCCGUCCAUGGACGAAUCCACCGCGAAGGAUGGGUAAUGAUACGGCUGGACCCCGUUUCUUAUUUGUCAAACGUCAGCCGCAAAGACGUUGCCCGGUUGUUUUCGGGCCAGAAGGAAGUCUUGCCUCUUCUCGGAAUGAUAAUCUACUUGCAAAUGCGACCGUCUAUCUUUCUUUCUCUUCUACCGCAACACGUUCCUCUCUCCGUUUCUCUUGUUCAUGCCGUGUUUGUUCUGGCCGCUGUGUAACGGGGAUGAAGGAACGUUGAAGGAAGCUGGGCCACGUCGCUUUCCGCAGCCUCUGUUACGUAAUUAUCAAUAAUCACCAGGUUAAGGGACACGUCGGGGGAGGGAGGAAAGGGAAACGGAGCUGGUAGCUUGAAAUUAAGCGUUUCCACGCGAGGCGGUUUUCUUUAUCAUGUAGAUUGCUCGAGGGAAUUAGUUUGUUGGUUAAAUCACACGACGGUAUAAUAGAAUUCUCGAUGAAUUUUCAAUAGAUAAUGAAUCAUAUUUUUGGUAAUAAGUACGUUAAUUGUUGAGAAACGAAAGGUAUGCGAGCAAGUCGUCGUUCCGAGACGGGCAACGUUGUGUCGGUACUCGCUGCACCUUAAUUAACGUUUUAAUUGUAUCCUUCAUGUAUGAACAGUGGCCGUUCCACUCUGUGAUGCACACUAACAAACCUAAUUUCCGUCUGAAGAACGAAACCGCGUUCUUAUCUGCCAACACGUCGCUGAACAUGCUUACUGAUUUCGUUAUUUCAUUCUGGAAUUAAUUCAUUCUUAUCUUUCUUGUUACGAAGCUUCUGAUCAUAUUCAAGUCCGAAACCUAUGAUCGUUGAUGAGAUUCGUCGCGAGACCCAAAUAAUCCCCCACAUGGAUGGAAGUUAACGAAACAGGAAACGAGGUAUAUUAAACGGGUAGAUCGAAAGAAGAAACGAAGAAGAAACUCGAGGAUAAGGAGUGGGACGAGGUCGUGAAUGUAGUGGGAAAAGGGGAGAAAGAAAAGAAAAGAGAAUAAAAUAAAAUAAAAAGAAAAAAAAAAGAAAAAGAGGAGAAGCGAGUCGAAAAGGGCAGCCGUGGCAGAGCCGCUUUCGCCUCGGCGAAUGAAAUUGCCCCGGCAAUCGGUGGUUGCUUAUUAGCGUUUGACGUUCGAUUAGUCAAGUGCACCGUCCAAGAUCCGCCGUUUGAAGGCUCCGUGGCUCCUCCCAUUACCGGUUCCCGUGGGUCCUGUUCAUCGGCCAACAACCACGCGUCCACCAGGCGACCGGGCACAACCGGGCACGUAGCAUCAUCAUUCUUCUGCCAUCCGAGAGAAAAGAGAGUCUUUCGCGUUCUCCGAGGUUUGCGCGGGCAUACCUUGUAAUUACGUUAACCGUACUACUGCCAGCAAGGUAAUAGCACGAAUUAGUUGCACUUCAAUGUUUCCUUCGAUGCGUUCGAAAUCUUCUUCGCCAGUCUUUUCUCUUUGUAUACUUUACCGCAUUCCACGGCUUCGUCCACCAUCUCUUGCGAUACUUUUUCCCUCCGGUCACGCUGACAUCCAGAGAUUAGGAGAGUUUCUUGUACGCUUUCUGAAUCCUCUUAGGCGGAGGAGGUUCUGCUGCUUCUUUUAUCAUCUUCUUUCGUUUAAUUUAACGAGAGGCCUUUUCCAAUCGUAAUCGUCUACAAAUAUUUGCAAUAAUAUUUCAAUAUCCCUUGCCAAUCUAUGCUCAAGCACUCCCCAGGUCUUCUUAGAUCGUUGUUCGUGGAAAACAGACAAGAUUCCGUCCUGAAAGAAGGUAAUUUAUAGCUGGGAACGGGGAAAAAAGCUCAGCUUCCCGGAGUACAACGCGUUAUUAAUACGUUUUAAAGAAAUGUCCAAGAUUAAUUUGCGAAACGAGUCGCUAUUGAAGUUCUUGCCCGCGGCCUCAUUAAUCUUAUCCAGAGAGCAGGGAGACAGAGAGGGGUGGAGGGAAAAAAAUUAUUUUGUAGAAUGUUCGGUGUAAUAACAGGGAAUCCUGUCGCCGGCACGCCUAGCCAGGGAACACCGUCCCACUAUUAAUUCAUGUCUCAAGUUUUCAAGUAAGAAAUUAAUGUCUCCAUACGUGAUUCGUGGAUCCCCGUGGCCGACUCUUGUUCUUUCUUCAGGGUGGUUCGUUGUUGAAAAGUUUCCACUCGAACGAUAUUAAUAUGUCUGAGUAUUUCGUUGAGCGCGAAACUUCUUUAAGAAAAAAAAAAAAAAGAAAAAAGGAAAAGAAGGAAAGUAAGCUUUCUUCCACGUUCACUUGGUGCUAUUUUAAUAAUAAUAAAUCGAAGAUAAAAGAAUGAAAAAUAUUAAAUGAUAUUGACGCGAAUUCUUUGUCCGGUAAAACGAAGAACAGCCACGUCAUUAAUCACUGUACGCGUUGUCUCUUAAGAAACACUUUUCUUUGUCAACUGGACGUAUUUAUUCGACGCUUGAGGUAGCCGAGCAUCGCGGUAGGUAGAUCCUGGUUGCGUAGGAGGAUCGCAGCUGGACGAGCGUACGAAAAGCUCGAUCCAAUGGGAAGCAAGUAACCAGAGAAGAGUUUUAAUUCCAUGGUCCGAACGUCGUGGGUUUAUGUACGGUUCGCUCUGGUGGCGUUCUUUUUGAAAAAGCGAACGCCGAGAUAAUGGAACGUAAUGUAGCGUGAACCAGCGCCGCUACCUUGCUUCAGCUUUUAAACGCGUCGCGAAUAUCUACACCGGGUGUUCCUCAAAUAAAGCGCAAUAUCGAAUUUUACUGUACAAUUUUUCUAACGACGAUUCUUGGAAUAAAUUAUAAACUGACGAGGUGUAAGCUUCUUCAUCAUUCGUCGGUUGUUUCACGUAUGAAAUUCUUUAAAAUCAUGUUCCUCGAUAAGCAUCCCGUAGUCAAAUCGCUUCUUGUCAAGUUUAAUCCCAUCGAGUAUCAAGGAACCGGUUCUUUUAGUCGGUAAUUGCAAAAAAUCCGGCAUUUCUUCGCCGUCCACCCGGUAGGAAAGUUUCACGUGUGGGGUACCUUAAUGAUGCACCCGGUUGGAUCUCACGAAAAGUCCACUCUCAUCGUGCAUGGUGACCAUCCAUUGAACGAAGUUUUUUGCUCGGCUCCAAGUACAAGACAGAGCCAGAAAGGAGAGCAAUCAUUGAUACUCGAUCCUCAUUCCACCAUCAUUAUAAAAAAAUUUCAGUUUUCCAAAAAUUCAUGCGUACCAUUGUUCCUUAAAAUUCUAAAUUAUAGAAAGUUCUCUCUGAAAGCGUAGGGGUAGCUCUAGCGUGAAACUCGGCUAUUUCUCGCUUGGCAAAGACUCGCCGAAUUCGAAAUCAUAAUUUUAAUGAAAGCGGUACGCGAACUCCGAAAAUAAUGGUCAAC